AGGGUUUGAUCAUGGCUCAGAACGUACGCUGGCGGCACGCCUAACACAUGCAAGUCGAACGAAGUAGCAAUACUUAGUGGCAGACGGGUGAGUAACAUGUAGGUAUCUACCCUUUGGCCUGGAAUAACACGAGGAAACUUGUGCUAAUACUGGAUAAGUCUUUACGGAGAAAGCUUUAUGCACCAUUGGAUGAGCCUGCACUUGAUUAGUUUGUUGGUAGGGUAAUGGCCUACCAAGACUUUGAUCAAUAGCUGAUUUGAGAGGAUGAUCAGCCACAUUGGGACUGAGACACGGCCCAAACUCCUACGGGAGGCAGCAGUGGGGAAUCUUGCACAAUGGAGGAAACUCUGAUGCAGCGAUGCCGCGUGAGUGAAGAAGGCCUUUGGGUUGUAAAGCUCUUUCGUCGGGGAAGAAAAUGACUGUACCCGAAUAAGAAGGUCCGGCUAACUUCGUGCCAGCAGCCGCGGUAAUACGAAGGGACCUAGCGUAGUUCGGAAUUACUGGGCUUAAAGAGUUCGUAGGUGGUUGAAAAAGUUGGUGGUGAAAUCCCAGAGCUUAACUCUGGAACUGCCAUCAAAACUUUUCAGCUAGAGUUUGAUAGAGGAAAGCAGAAUUUCUAGUGUAGAGGUGAAAUUCGUAGAUAUUAGAAAGAAUACCAAUUGCGAAGGCAGCUUUCUGGAUCAUUACUGACACUGAGGAACGAAAGCAUGGGUAGCGAAGAGGAUUAGAUACCCUCGUAGUCCAUGCCGUAAACGAUGUGUGUUAGACGUUGGAAAUUUAUUUUCAGUGUCGCAGCGAAAGCAAUAAACACACCGCCUGGGGAGUACGACCGCAAGGUUAAAACUCAAAUGAAUUGACGGGGACCCGCACAAGUAGUGGAGCAUGUGGUUUAAUUCGAAGAUACGCGCAGAACCUUACCAACACUUGACAUGUUCGUCGCGACUUUAAGAGAUUAAAGUUUUCGGUUCGGCCGGACGAAACACAGGUGCUGCAUGGCUGUCGUCAGCUCGUGUCGUGAGAUGUUGGGUUAAGUCCCGCAACGAGCGCAACCCUCACUUUUAGUUGCCAUCAUUUAGUUGGGCACUCUGAAAGAACUGCCAGUGAUAAGCUGGAGGAAGGUGGGGAUGACGUCAAGUCCUCAUGGCCCUUACGUGUUGGGCUACACACGUGCUACAAUGGUAUCUACAACAGGAAGCAAAACGGCGACGUUAAGCAAAUCCUUAAAAGAUACCUCAGUUCGGAUUGCACUCUGCAACUCGAGUGCAUGAAGCUGGAAUUACUAGUAAUCGUGGAUCAGCGUGCCACGGUGAAUGCGUUCCCGGGUCUUGUACACACCGCCCGUCACACCAUGGGAGUUGGUUCUACCUUAAGGCAAGGUUUAAAAUCCUUGACCACGGUAUAGUCAGCGACUGGGGUGAAGUCAUAACAAGGUAGCCGUA
rnacentral:rRNA from 1 species